AUAUCAAUAAGCGGAGGAAAAGAAACCAACAGGGAUUGCCCCAGUAACGGCGAGUGAAGCGGCAACAGCUCAAAUUUGAAAUCUGGCCCCUCCGGGGUCCGAGUUGUAAUUUGCAGAGGAUGCUUCGGCGUCGGCCCCGGGUCAAGUCCCCUGGAACGGGGCGUCCGAGAGGGUGAGAGCCCCGUACCCCCCCGGGUUGCCUUCGCCGUGUGAAGCUCCUUCGAAGAGUCGAGUUGUUUGGGAAUGCAGCUCUAAGCGGGAGGUAAAUUUCUUCUAAAGCUAAAUACCGGCCAGAGACCGAUAGCGCACAAGUAGAGUGAUCGAAAGAUGAAAAGCACUUUGGAAAGAGAGUUAAAAAGCACGUGAAAUUGUUGAAAGGGAAGCUCUUGCCGCCAGACUUGCCGCGGGGGCUCAGCCGCCCUCCUGGGCGGUGUACUCCCCCGUCGGCGGGCCAGCGUCGGUUCGGGCGGCCGGAUAAAGGCCCCGGGAAGGUAGCACCCCUCGGGGUGUGUUAUAGCCCGGGGUGCAAUGCGGCCAGCCCGGUCCGAGGAACGCGUUCGCGAGGACGCUGGCGUAAUGGUUGCAAGCGACCCGUCUUGAAACACGGACCAAGGAGUCUAACAUCUGUGCGAGUGUUUGGGUGUCAAACCCAUACGCGCAAUGAAAGUGAACGGAGGUGGGAACCCCCUCGAGGGGUGCACCAUCGACCGAUCCUGAUGUCUUCGGAUGGAUUUGAGUAAGAGCAUAGCUGUUGGGACCCGAAAGAUGGUGAACUAUACCUGGAUAGGGUGAAGCCAGAGGAAACUCUGGUGGAGGCUCGCAGCGGUUCUGACGUGCAAAUCGAUCGUCAAAUCUGGGUAUAGGGGCGAAAGACUAAUCGAACCAU
rnacentral:rRNA from 1 species